rnacentral:rRNA from 1 species
UACGUAGGGUGCAAGCGUUAAUCGGGAUUACUGGGCGUAAAGGGCGCGUAGGCGGCCUUCUAAGUCAGACGUGAAAUCCCCAGGCUUAACUUGGGAACUGCGUCUGAUACUGGAGGGCUUGAGUGCGGGAGAGGGAUGUGGAAUUCCAGGUGUAGCGGUGAAAUGCGUAGAUAUCUGGAGGAACACCGGUGGCGAAGGCGGCAUCCUGGACCGACACUGACGCUGAUGCGCGAAAGCCAGGGGAGCAAACGGG